rnacentral:lncRNA from 1 species
CAGAGAUAUAUUCAUGUUCAUUUGGUGGUAUAAUGCAUUGAAAAGGGCUGAAUCACUGCUAAUUUGGAUAUUAUCUACUUCUUUCUGUAGACUAGAACAUCAAGAGUGGGAGAGUAUCCAUUCAACUACAGACUUGCCUGGAGCGUGUCUCUCUCUCUGCUGUCUGGUCAUUGCCCAAGGGAAGACUGCAGUUUGGGAUAAGAUCUGCUCUCUAACAAACUUAUCUCGUGUGGGGAUGAUGUCUCUGAGGUUGUGCCUCUGCAAGGCCACUCACUUUACCAUGCUGAGUCCAAGAGAAGACUUCCAAUUGAUUGCCAGUGAUUGGCUGGGGAGCUUGGAGACCUGAAUCAAAACCUGAAGCUGUCAACUUGCUGAAGUAGUAAGUAGCUUUUAAAACGUCAUUACCAUUCACCAUUAUCAUUAUGCUUACAUAGUACAACAGCAGCUCAGCACUGGUUUGAUAGUCACAGCGAUCAUCUGUGCUCCUCAAUAGCCAUUGAAAUGUUCCUCUAUAACAUAAACGUCUGGCAGUACCUCAGGAUCGAGACGAAUGUUUAAUAUCUGUGUUACUAAUGGUGAAACUGAGAUAUAGCAUGUCUUAAGUGGCUGAACCCAAGUGCAUUAUGCUGUGAGAUUGCUCUCUGGGCUGGAUUGAGAGCCCUGCGAGAUCCCCAUCACACCAGAGGGAGGACUUUAAGCUCCGCAGCUACCUCAGGUCUCUUAUAGAUGAGCCUGGGCAUCUUGGUUGGGUGUUGUGGUGCUAUGUUAAAUUACUCUUGAGACGAGAGGAAGUUGAUUUUGCUAUCUGUAUUCAGAUAUGGAUUUGGAGAGCAAGCUUUUGCCUCCAUUGCGUGAAUUGUGAAAUUUAGCUUUCUGCUUUUGCAUGUUCGUUGUUGUUUAGAAAUAGGAGUGAAAUGCAUUUGGAUGGCACAAAAAACAGCACCUGUAGAGAACCAAGAAGGCAGAGAAUUAAGAAGUGUGCAGUAACUGGUUGAUGCCAUUCCUCCAAUGGGAGGAAACUGUUUUUACCUGCUAACGUUCUCCCUUGCAACCUUCAUUCAACGUCAGCUAUUCCUUUGUUUAUUUCUGUAUUUAUUUAUACUAGUGACUGUAAUGAAUCUACCAAUGGCUUAGUCUGCAACUGUUCUUUUGUCGUCCUCCUCAAAAUACAAGUUCUGUUUGUAGUCUCUUUUUGCCAGAUCAAUACUGUAUGAAAUAUUGCCACAUCGUGCUGUUACUAGGCUGUGUCACCUCAGGAAAGUCAUUGAAGUUACCUUUCAUCUCAGAAUACUUUAAUGUACUUCUUUAUCUGUUUUAAAUUGUGAACAAUUUCCUUCUUGAAACUGGGAAGCUGUAGAGGGCAGCUUUAUUUGUGACCUUACGUUGCAUUUCUGCACUUCUAGAAGUAUUAACUUGUUACUGAAAUGUGACCUUUGCUUUCAGUACCGUGCAUUUAUGUCCUGCCACACCCCACCUACCAGAUUUUCCAUGUUAAAACACAGUGUUUCUGUCCAUCUUUCAUUUUUCUCUAAAGCCUGGCCCACGAUGAUGACAGGACUGUGUGAAUGAUAAUAUAUGAAUUUUGUAUUCCCCAUAGUGAGGCAACAUCGUUUUGGUUCUUUACAGAAUAUGUACAGCAGUUUAUUACUUUCAUGAUAUAUUGGAGGAAUGCAAAGAUGAGAAGUUUAGUGCUUGGUAAGAAAGCCAGAAUCCAAACAAUGCUUCAAAGGCUUUUAAAAUAAAUCUUUAUGUCUGUGUUGACA